CCUACGGGAGGCAGCAGUGAGGAAUAUUGGUCAAUGGACGAGAGUCUGAACCAGCCAAGUAGCGUGAAGGAUGACUGCCCUAUGGGUUGUAAACUUCUUUUAUAUGGGAAUAAAAUGUUCCCCGUGUGGGAUUUUGUAUGUACCAUAUGAAUAAGGAUCGGCUAACUCCGUGCCAGCAGCCGCGGUAAUACGGAGGAUCCGAGCGUUAUCCGGAUUUAUUGGGUUUAAAGGGAGCGUAGGUGGAUUGUUAAGUCAGUUGUGAAAGUUUGCGGCGCAACCGUAAAAUUGCAGUUGAAACUGGCAGUCUUGAGUACAGUAGAGGUGGGCGGAAUUCGUGGUGUAGCGGUGAAAUGCUUAGAUAUCACGAAGAACUCCGAUUGCGAAGGCAGUUCACUGGACUGCAACUGACACUGAGGCUCGAAAGUGUGGGUAUCAAACAGGAUUAGAUACCCCAGUAGUC
rnacentral:rRNA from 1 species